rnacentral:rRNA from 1 species
CAGCUCCGAAUCUCACCGGAGCUUCCAACUGGUGCAGUGGCUUCUUAUUACUCUGUGCCCCUCACAAGAGCAUGUUCUAGCAGGGAAAACCUCUGAAUAUCAUUCCAGAUUUAUUGAAGUGUGCCGGAGCUCACGGGCCUGCGGCCAUCUUGGUUGGGCUCUCAAGCACACCUCCGGGAUGCAUGCAUUUAUCACACCAAGACCAAUCCAGGCUCGCCCAUCUGCUUUGGUGACUCUAGAUAACCUUGGGCGGAUUGCACGUCCUUCUGACAGCGACAAUGCAUUCACAUGUCUGCCCUAUCAACCUUCGAUGCUACUUUCUGUGUAUACCAUGGUGACCAUGGGUAACGGGUAAGCAGGGUUCGAUUCCAGAGAUGGAGCCUGAGAAAUGGCUACCACAUCCAAGGAAGGCAGCAGGCACACAAAUUACCCACUCCUGACGCAGGGAGGUAGUGAUGAAAAAUAACAAUACAAGGCCUUGUAAUCGGGAAUAAAUAUGAUUUAAAUCCUUUAAGAAGGAUCCACUGGAGGGCAAGUAUGGUGCCAGAAGCUGCGGUAAUUCCAGCUCCAAUAGCAUAUAUUAAAGUUGCUGCGGUUAAAAAGCUUGUAGUUGGAUCUUGGGAUCGAGCUGGCGGUCUACCGCGAGGCGAGCGAUUGCCUGUCCAACCCCUGUCUUUCGGUGCCCCCUUGAUGCUCUUGACUGAGCAUCCUCGGGGUCUGAAGCAUUUACUUUGAAAAAAUGUGAGUGUUCAAAGCAGGUCGUCACCUGAAUACCACAGCUAGGAGUAAUAUAAUAGGACUUUGGCUCUAUUUUGCUGUUUUUUGGAACUGGGGCCAUUAUUAAGAGUGAUGGCCCGGGACAUUCAUAUUGUGCAGGAGGUGACAUUCUUGGACCGGUGCAAGACAAACCAAAGAGAAAACAUUUGCCAAGAAUGUUUUCAUUAAUCUAGAACAAAAGUCGGAGGUUUGAAGAUGAUCAGAUACCAUCGUAGUGCCAGUAAUAAAUGAUGGCGACUAGAGAUCCAGCUGUGUUAUUUCCAUGACCCGUCGAGCAGCUUCUGGGGAAGUCUUUGGGUUUGAGGGUCAUGGGGGGGAGUAUGGUUGCAAAGCUGAAACUGAAAGGUAUUGGCCGAAGGGCAUCACCAGGACUGGAGCCUGCAGCUUAAUUUGACUCAACACAGAAAACUCACCCGGCCACGGAAAGGAUAGACAGAUUGAUAGCUCUUUCUUGAUUCUGUGGGUGGUGGUGCAUAGUCGCUCUUAAUUGAUGGAGUGAUUUGUCUGUUUAAUUCCGAUUACGAAUGAGACUCCUCCAUAGUAACUAGUUAUGUGACCCCCAGUGGUUGGCAUUCAACUUCUUAGAUGGACAAGUGGCAUUCAGCUAAACGAGAUUGAGCAAUAACAGGUCUGUGAUGCCCUUAGAUGUCUGGGACUGCAUGCGUGCUGCACUGAACGGAUCAGUGUGUGUCUAACUUUCGCUGAAAGAUCCAGGUAACCCACUGAACCGUGUUCAUGAUAGGGAUUGGGUUUGCAUUUAUUUCCCAUGAUCAAGGAAUUCCGAGUGAGUGUGGAUCAUAAAGUCGCGUUGAUUAAUUGAGGUCCUCAGAUCGUCCCUGCCGGGGUUCGUAACGGCCCUGGUGGAACACUAAGAAGACCAUCAAACUUGACUAUCUAGAGGAAGUAAAAGUUGUAACAAGGUUUCCGUAGAUGAUCCUGCUGAAG